UAGAGAGAUAUAAUUAUCAUGUCUAAUGCUAGCUGUUCGUCGGCUUGAGUACACGGAAGGACAUAUGUAAUACCCAAAUUGUAAGAGUAGUGAAAUGUCCAAGAAUUAAGAAAUAUAAAGGGGCUCAAUUGACCACUGGUGUAAUUAUUCUCAUUGUUGCAUAUUUCAAAUCAUGGAACCAUCCCUGGCUACCAAUAAAUUUACUAAAUAAAAGAAUGAUGCAUCAUGUUGGAGUUUAAUUGCUUGUGUAUUUAAUGAUAAAAAUAAUCCAAAUAAAAACACAUUAAUAAUGAGAAAGAGGUUUUGACCUAAUUUAAAACUUGGAAUUUGGAAAAGAGAGAAAAGAAAAGAAGGGAGUAUAAAAUAUAUAUACAAAAUAAAUAUUAUAAGUAAAAGUAAGACUAGUAUGUUCAAAUUGUACAGGAAAUUCGAGGAGAAUUUACCAAAGAACUUGAGUUUGAAAUUUGAACUCAAAUAGGAAGGGAAAAUAUAAAUAAGAAUAAAGGAAAGAGAGGAGCGUCGCAUGGGCUCAAUUUCCCUGAACAGGCCCACCUAACCCUAUCCCCUGCUCGCGCGAACACUGGCCCAACUCACGUCCCCCGCGUGCUCGGACGGCACACUGACACACGGGCCCCAUCGGUCUGUCACCGGGUAUCGCGGGCGGGACACUUGCCCAUGGGACCGGGCGGUCAGAGCCGUCGUCCCCGCAAGACUCGCGGACGAGCUCAACCGAACCCGCGAAACUCGCGCAGCGGGCGGCUCCUCCCCGUACAAAUUAAGUGCCCAGCCGGCAGGCGAGACCGAAGCACCCAGAACCCUAGCCACCCGGAGGUUCUCUGGUCGCAGGCACCGGCCCCAGUAGAGAGAAGCGCAGAAGAGAGAGAUAGAGUAAGGGAGAGUCGCCGUCGGGAAUUCACGUCGGUGGUGAUUCAAGUUCCAUGGACGUGAGUGAUGGUGAUCGAACGUCGCCGCUCCCUCGCUAAGCUCGGGCUUCCACAUCAAUCGGUGGCUGGCGCACGGGAUCUCCGACGAGCAAACCACUGUGGAUUCUGAGGUUCAGCUGGUAGAGAGUGCUGAGCAGGAGCUCGUGGAAGGCAAGUUGUGCCCUUGAUCACUUCUUUUACCCAUUCAUGUUCUUAUUAUUCAUAAUGAUCUGCAUAGGUUAAUUUUGAUGGGACCUAAUAGGAUACCCUAGAUUUUGACUAUCUUUAUACCUUGUUUCACCACUGGUUUUACUACAAAUUUUUUUUUGGGUAGUAUAUGCUAUUGCUUUAUGUGGCUUUGGGUAUAAAGAUAUUCAUCACUCAUUGUUAUACUUUUUAUUAUCUGUUUAUUAUUACUAUUCAUGAUAAGAUCAUUAUGUUAAUGGGAACAUGGAGAACCACCCGGGAAAACAGUGCUACCACAAGGGUUUAAUGGGACGCCCUUGGCUGAUUAACUAGGAAAGCUAGUGGAGGGCUGCCUUACCCGAAAGGGGCAAGGGCAGUAGGGGAGUGGUCAGUGUAGGGAGGUCCCUGGUUGAUUUUGCUGCGAUGGCAGUCAGUCAGGAACCCUGCAUUGGAACUUCCUAUAAACUGUAGCGGGUAGUCUGAAGCUAGUGGAACUUUGUAAAGGCCUCGUAGUGGUACCCUGCCUCGCUUCCUAGGUAGAGGUGUAUGGAGUCUGAUCAACUCCGUGGCAAACGGGUAACACGACUUGUGGGUAAAGAUGCGCAACCUCUGCAGAAUGUAAAACUGGUAUACUAGCCGUGCUCACGGUCAUGAGCGGCUCGGACACUCACAUGAUUAAAUUAUGGAACUUAAACUCAAUCUGUCAUUUCAUUGCAUCUGGGAUUAUUUCAUUAUUACUUUUAUUUAUUAUUUCUAAGGGUUGGUAUUUACUUGUACUUAGUAAUUGCUAAUAAAAUUUUGACCAACUUAAAAGCAAUGCUCAGCUUCAGCCUUUAUUUCAUUGAUCAGCCUUACACUUCAUGAACUCCCACCUUUGGUGAGUUCAUGCCACAUUAUUCCCCACAACUUGUUGAGCGAUGAACGUAUGUGAGCUCACUCUUGCUGUCUCACACCCCCCCCACAGGAGAAGAGCAGGUGGUUCAGGAGGAGCCACAAGGCGAGGAGUAUGAUCUGAUCUAGGUGGCGUUUCUCAGUCGACAUUUGCGCCGACGAUCCUUAGUUCGUUUUAUGUUUAUUCUUUUAUUUUGUAUUAAGUCUUCCGCUAUGUAAUAAAUACUCUGAUGUUUUAUGACAUUUAUCUCUAUACACUCUGUUAUUGUAUAUGUUGUCUUCUUGGCGCAUGUAUGAGAUGCACCCGGCUUUGUUCCUUAAAGCCCGGGUGUGACAGAAGUGGUAUCAGAGGAAAUGUUGACUGUAGGACGAAACCUAGAUAGAAAUGGAUAAAACCCUUACCUACUUAUCUUAUUCUGAAUCCUUCUAAACUUACCUUACUCUGAUUCUCUCUAUACUUAUCUUGAUCCUGUCUCAUCUUCUACUGUUCUACUCUGAUCAUUCUUAUCUUCUCUAUUCUAAGACAAGUCGGAUUUCACACCUUGGAAUCCCUACCCCUGUGACAUUUUUAAGAGAUAGGAAGCCUAAGACGAAAAUAAAACUAUUUUCUCUAUUUUAAAAUGUUGGUUGAUUGUUCUGAUGAUCAAUGUCUGAUUUGCUUCUUUGAUUGAUUGAAAUAGUAUAGACGGGCAUCUUAGCAUGUACCACCAUAAGGUAAUGAAUUAGCUUUAGUAGGUGACACACUUAGCUAAUAAAUCCCCCAAAGUAACAUGCUUCGUAAUUACUCGCCUCGUCUACAAUCCUUUCUUUCGUACCCUAUGUUCCUAACCCAGAUGGGCUAUCCCUAUAGUGUUAGAAGAGAGCACUAUAGACGUGAUCUUUGGUAUGUCAUGGUUAAUAAAGGCAAAGGCAGCAUAUACACGGUGCUAAGGGAACCGUAGAACUCGCCGGUUCCAAAGGACAAAGAUUUGAAGUUGAGUUUGUCAUUAAUCUCUUACCUAGGACUGCCCCUAUUUCUAAACGGCCAUACAGGAUGUCUGUAGAAGAACUAAAGGAACUUAAGAAGCAAUUAAUGGAAUUACAAGAGGCUGGGUACAUUCGUUCGAAUUCUUCACCUUGUGGAACACCAGUUCUAAUUGUACAGAAGAAAGAAGGAUCACAAGGGAUGUGCGUGGAUUAUAGAUCUCUCAACGAUGUCACUGUGAAGAACAAGUACUCGUUACCCGUAUUCAGGAUUUAUUUGAUCAGAUGAGAGGUGCAAGGGUAUUUUCGAAGAUUGAUCUCCGAUCGGGAUACCAUCAGAUGAGGAUUAGACCAUCGGAUAUUCCCAAGACGGCUUUCUCGACUCGAUAUGGAUUAUAUGAGUUUACUGUUAUGUCGUUUGGAUUGACCAAUGCACCGGCUUAUUUCAUGAAUUUGAUGAAUAAGGUGUUUAUGGAGUAUUUGGACAGAUUCGUCGUGGUAUUCAUCGACGAUAUUCUUAUCUAUUCUAAGAAUGAAAGUGAUCAUGAACAACAUCUAAGGUUGGUGCUACAGAAGUUGCGAGAUAAUCAACUCUAUGCUAAGUUCAGCAAGUGCGAGUUUUGGAUUGACAAGGAGUCAUUCCUUGGUCAUAUUAUUUCUAACGGAGGAAUAGCAGUGGAUCCUGCUAAAGUGAAGGAGAUAAUGGAGUGGAGAGUGCCCACUACAGUUACUGAGAUUCGUAGUUUCUUGGGACUAGCAGGAUAUUAUCGGAGAUUUAUUGAAGGAUUCUCUAAGAUUGCCAAGCCUAUGACAUCGCUUCUGGAGAAAGGAAAAGAAUUUAAGUGGGAUGAGAAAUAUCAUGAGAGCUUUGAUCAAUUGAAGGAGAGACUAAUGUCGCCACCAGUAUUGAUUAUGCCAGAUCUGCAGAAGGGGUUUGACAUUUAUUGUGAUGCAUGUGGCCAAGGACUUGGAUGUGUGCUUAUGCAAGAAGGACAUGUGAUCGCCUAUGCAUCUCGUCAGUUGCGGAAACAUGAAUUGAACUACCCCACUCAUGAUUUAGAGCUGGCAGCAAUUGUGCAUGCACUGAAGAUUUGGAGACACUACAUUAUGGGAACUAAGUGUCAAGUAUAUACGGAUCAUAAGAGUUUGAAGUAUAUAUUCACUCAGAAGGAUCUCAACCUUAGGCAACGCCGUUGGUUGGAGCUCAUUAAGGAUUAUGAUUUAGAGAUUCACUAUCACCCGGGCAAGGCGAAUUUGGUUGUAGAUGCCUUGAGUCGGAAGGAGCAUGUUCACUCCGCUUUUGUCGUCCAACUGCCCGAUGAAUUAGCAAAAGACUUUGAGAGACUCAAUUUGGGGAUUGUUACACAUACGGAAGGAGUGACUAUUGAAUUGGAACCUACCUUGGAGCAAGAGAUUCGCAAAGGUCAGGUUGGUGAUGCUAAGAUUCAAGAGAUUAAGGAUCUGAUUACGGAAGGUCGAGUUCCGGAAUUCACGGAGGAUGAGCAAGGUACUAUAUGGUUCAAAGAUCGGAUAUGUAUUCCAGAGAUUGAUAGCCUCCGUGAGACUAUAUUGAAAGAAGCCCAUGAUUCUGAUUAUUCUAUCCACCCUGGAAGCACUAAGAUGUAUCAAGAUUUGAAGCAAAAGUUUUGGUGGUAUGGACUGAAAAGAGAUGUGGCUGCUCAUGUGGCUAAGUGUGAUGUAUGUCAAAGAGUCAAGGCCGAACAUCAAAGACCCGCUGGACUAUUGCACCCAUUGAAGAUACCCGAGUGGAAAUGGGAAGAAAUUGGUAUGGAUUUUAUUGUUGGACUACCCCGCACUCCUGCUGGGUAUGACUCUAUUUGGGUAGUUGUAGACAGAUUGACAAAAGUGGCUCAUUUUAUACCUGUGAGGACUAAUUAUACGGGAGCCAAGCUAGCAGAAUUGUAUAUGACUCGGAUAGUUUGUCUACAUGGAGUGCCUAAGAAGAUCGUGUCUGAUCGAGGAUCACAGUUUACUUCUCGAUUUUGGAAGAAGUUGCAUGAGAGCUUGGAUACAAAGUUGAAUUUUAGUUCAGCCUACCAUCCCCAGACUGAUGGACAGACAGAGAGAACUAAUCAAGUGCUGGAAGAUAUGUUAAGAGCUUGUGCUCUCAAGCAUGGUGGCAGUUGGGAGAAGAGCUUACCCUAUGCUGAGUUUUCUUAUAAUAAUAGCUAUCAGGCCAGUUUGAAGAUGUCACCGUUUGAGGCUCUGUAUGGCAGAAAGUGCAGGACACCACUGUAUUGGGAUCAAACUGGAGAAAGACAGUUCUUUGGGCCUGAGCUCAUACAAGAGGCAGAUGAACAAGUUCGAAUAAUAAGAGAAAAUUUGAGAAUUGCACAAUCCAGGCAAAAGAGCUAUGCUGAUAAUAGGAGAAGAUUACUGGAGUUUAAGGAGGGUGAUCAUGUCUACUUGAAGGUGUCACCACUUCGUGGUAUGAGAAGAUUCAAAGUCAAGGGCAAAUUGUCCCCUCGCUAUAUUGGACCGUUCUGAGUUUUUAGGCAAGUUGGAGAGAUGGCCUAUCAACUCGAGCUACCUGAUAAUCUAUCUGAUGUGCGCAAUGUAUUCCAUAUGUCUCAACUUAAGAAGUGUCUCUGUGUCCCUGAGGAACAGUUAACAAUGGAAGAGCUCAGUGUUGAGGGUAAUUUGACUUACACGGAGUAUCCUAUCAAGAUUCUUGAUACAUUGACUCGAGUUAUAAGGAAUAAAGUGAUAAAGAUGUGCAAAGUUCAAUGGAGUCACCAUGGUGAAGAUGAAGCCACUUGGGAAAGAGAAGAAGAGCUUCGCAUAGAUUUUCCCCAUCUUUUCCCUAGAUCUUCUUAAAUCUCGAGGACGAGAUUCUUUCUAAGGGGGGUAGGAUUUGUAAUACCCAAAUUGUAAGAGUAGUGAAAUGUCCAAGAAUUAAGAAAUAUAAAGGGGCUCAAUUGACCACUGGUGUAAUUAUUCUCAUUGUUGCAUAUUUCAAAUCAUGGAACCAUCCCUGGCUACCAAUAAAUUUACUAAAUAAAAGAAUGAUGCAUCAUGUUGGAGUUUAAUUGCUUGUGCAUUUAAUGAUAAAAAUAAUCCAAAUAAAAACACAUUAAUAAUGAGAAAGAGGUUUUGACCUAAUUUAAAACUUGGAAUUUGGAAAAGAGAGAAAAGAAAAGAAGGGAGUAUAAAAUAUAUAUACAAAAUAAAUAUUAUAAGUAAAAGUAAGACUAGUAUGUUCAAAUUGUACAGGAAAUUCGAGGAGAAUUUACCAAAGAACUUGAGUUUGAAAUUUGAACUCAAAUAGGAAGGGAAAAUAUAAAUAAGAAUAAAGGAAAGAGAGGAGCGUCGCAUGGGCUCAAUUUCCCUGAACAGGCCCACCUAACCCUAUCCCCUGCUCGCGCGAACACUGGCCCAACUCACGUCCCCCGCGUGCUCGGACGGCACACUGACACACGGGCCCCAUCGGUCUGUCACCGGGUAUCGCGGGCGGGACACUUGCCCAUGGGACCGGGCGGUCAGAGCCGUCGUCCCCGCAAGACUCGCGGACGAGCUCAACCGAACCCGCGAAACUCGCGCAGCGGGCGGCUCCUCCCCGUACAAAUUAAGUGCCCAGCCGGCAGGCGAGACCGAAGCACCCAGAACCCUAGCCACCCGGAGGUUCUCUGGUCGCAGGCACCGGCCCCAGUAGAGAGAAGCGCAGAAGAGAGAGAUAGAGUAAGGGAGAGUCGCCGUCGGGAAUUCACGUCGGUGGUGAUUCAAGUUCCAUGGACGUGAGUGAUGGUGAUCGAACGUCGCCGCUCCCUCGCUAAGCUCGGGCUUCCACAUCAAUCGGUGGCUGGCGCACGGGAUCUCCGACGAGCAAACCACUGUGGAUUCUGAGGUUCAGCUGGUAGAGAGUGCUGAGCAGGAGCUCGUGGAAGGCAAGUU